ensembl:lncRNA
CUAACAUGCAGUGUCAGUACUAACAUGCAGUGUCAGUAGUAACAUGCAGUGUCAGUACUAACAUGCAGUGUCAGUAGUAACAUGCAGUAUCAGUACUAACAUGCAGUGUCAGUACUAACAUCCAGUGUCAGUACUAACAUGCAGUGUCAGUAGUAACAUGCAGUGUCAGUACUAACAUGCAGUGUCAGUAGUAACAUGCAGUGUCAGUACUAACGUGCAGUGUCAGUAGUAACAUGCAGUGUCAGUAGUAACGUGCAGUGUCAGUAGUAACAUGCAGUGUCAGUAGUAACAUGCAGUGUCAGUACUAACAUGCAGUGUCAGUAGUAACAUGCAGUGUCAGUAGUAACAUGCAGUGUCAGUACUAACAUGCAGUGUCAGUAGUAACAUGCAGUGUCAGUAGUAACAUGCAGUGUCAGUACUAACAUGCAGUGUCAGUACUAACAUGCAGUGUCAGUACUAACGUGCAGUGUCAGUAGUAACAGCCAGUAUCAGUAGUUCUUCCUGAUAUCAAUAAUUCAUCGCUUUGUGCUCUGGAGCAUGGAGCAUCAGUUCAGCAGCUCAUAUUAAAACACACACACAGACACACACGCACGCACACACACACACACACUCCCUACUGUGGUGUAGACGCAGGGUUAUAAUGUGUGUAUCAGUGGGGUUUAUCGGAUGUUCUGGAUGCAGCGACGCACUAAACUAAACCACAGGCACCUAUUACAUUUAUUAGUAAAUGAUUAGUAAAUCAAGCUCAUUCUGUUCCCUCUGUUUCAGCAUGGAGGAGGCGUGUCACUCGCUUCAUUUACAUCCUAAUUCAUUCCAUUUACG